GACGAACGCUGGCGGCGUGCCUAAUACAUGCAAGUUGAGCGCUGAAGGUUGGUACUUGUACCAACUGGAUGAGCAGCGAACGGGUGAGUAACGCGUGGGGAAUCUGCCUUUGAGCGGGGGACAACAUUUGGAAACGAAUGCUAAUACCGCAUAAAAACUUUAAACACAAGUUUUAAGUUUGAAAGAUGCAAUUGCAUCACUCAAAGAUGAUCCCGCGUUGUAUUAGCUAGUUGGUGAGGUAAAGGCUCACCAAGGCGAUGAUACAUAGCCGACCUGAGAGGGUGAUCGGCAAAAUUGAGACUGAGACACGGCCCAAACUCCUACGGGAGGCAGCAGUAGGGAAUCUUCGGCAAUGGACGAAAGUCUGACCGAGCAACGCCGCGUGAGUGAAGAAGGUUUUCGGAUCGUAAAACUCGGUUGGUAGAGAAGAACGUUGGUGAGAGUGGAAAGCUCAUCAAGUGACGGUAACUACCCAGAAAGGGACGGCUAACUACGUG
rnacentral:rRNA from 1 species